rnacentral:tRNA from 1 species
GGGCCGUUAGCUCAACGGCCGAGAGCGCCCGCCUCAUAAGAGGAGGACGCAGGCUCGACCCCUGCACGGCCCACCA